rnacentral:rRNA from 1 species
UACGGAGGGUGCAAGCGUUGCUCGGAAUUACUGGGCGUAAAGCGCGUGUAGGCGGUUUCGUGUGUCUGAUGUGAAAUCCCCGGGCUCAACCCGGGAAGUGCAUUGGAAACUGCGAGACUAGAGUCCCGGAGAGGAAGGUGGAAUUCCAGGUGUAGCGGUGAAAUGCGUAGAUAUCUGGAAGAACACCGGUGGCGAAGGCGGCCUUCUGGACGGUGACUGACGCUGAGACGCGAAAGCUAGGGGAGCAAACGGG